GACGAACGCUGGCGGCGUGCCUAAUACAUGCAAGUCGAGCGCAGGAAACUGAAGGAACUCUUCGGAGGGAAGGCAGCGGAAUGAGCGGCGGACGGGUGAGUAACACGUGGGUAACCUGCCCCAAAGCGGGGGAUAACAUUUGGAAACAGAUGCUAAUACCGCAUGACCACAGAAACCACAUGGUUUCUGUGUCAAAGAUGGUUUCGGCUAUCACUUUGGGAUGGACCCGCGGCGUAUUAGCUAGUUGGUAAGGUAAUGGCUUACCAAGGCAAUGAUACAGAGCCGUACAGAGAGGUUGAUCGGCAACAUUGGGACUGAGACACGGCCCAAACUCCUGCGUGAGGCGACAGUAAGGAAUCUUCCACAAUGGACGAAAGUCUGAUGGAGCAACGCCGCGUGGGUGAGGAAGGUUUUCGGAUCGUAAAGCUCUGUUGUCAGAGAAGAACGUGUGCGAGAGUAACUGCUCGUGCAGUGACGGUAUCUGGCCAGAAAGCCACGGCUAACUACGUGCCAGCAGCCGCCGUAA
rnacentral:rRNA from 1 species